rnacentral:rRNA from 1 species
AUUGAACGCUGGCGGAAUGCUUUACACAUGCAAGUCGAACGGCAGCACGGACCUCGGUCUGGUGGCGAGUGGCGAACGGGUGAGUAAUACAUCGAAACGUGCCCAGUCGUGGGGGAUAACGUAGCGAAAGCUACGCUAAUACCGCAUACGAUCUAAGGAUGAAAGCGGGGGAUCGCAAGACCUCGCGCGAUUGGAGCGGCCGAUGGCAGAUUAGGUAGUUGGUAGGGUAAAGGCCUACCAAGCCGACGAUCUGUAGCUGGUCUGAGAGGAUGAUCAGCCACACUGGGACUGAGACACGGCCCAGACUCCUACGGGAGGCAGAAGUGGGGAAUUUUGGACAAUGGGCGCAAGCCUGAUCCAGCCAUUCCGCGUGCAGGAUGAAGGCCUUCGGGUUGUAAACUGCUUUUGUACAGAACGAAAAGGCUCUGGUUAAUACCCGGGGCUCAUGACGGUACUGUAAGAAUAAGCACCGGCUAACUACGUGCCAGCCGCCGCCGUAA